UACGGAGGGUGCAAGCGUUAUCCGGAUUCACUGGGUUUAAAGGGUGCGUAGGCGGGCAGGUAAGUCAGUGGUGGAAUCUUCGAGCUUAACUCGGAAACUGCCAUUGAUACUAUUUGUCUUGAAUAUGGUGGAGGUGAGCGGAAUAUGUCAUGUAGCGGUGAAACGCUUAGAUAUGACAUAGAACACCAAUUGCGUAGGCAGCUCACUAUACCUAUAUUGACGCUGAGGCACGAAAGCGUGGGGAUCAAACAGG
rnacentral:rRNA from 1 species